rnacentral:rRNA from 1 species
GACGAACGCUGGCGGCGUGCCUAAUACAUGCAAGUCGAGCGGACUGAUUAAGAGCUUGCUCUUAUGACGUUAGCGGCGGACGGGUGAGUAACACGUGGGCAACCUGCCCUGUAGAUCGGGAUAACACCGAGAAAUCGGUGCUAAUACCGGGUAAUAUCUGAGAUCACAUGAUCUUAGGUUAAAAGAUGGCUCCGGCUAUCACUACAGGAUGUGCCCGCGGCGCAUUAGCUAGUUGGUAAGGUAAUGGCUUACCAAGGCGACGAUGCGUAGCCGACCUGAGAGGGGGAGCGGCCACAAGGGGACUGAGACACGGCCCAGACUCCUACGGGAGGCAGCAGUAGGGAAUCUUCCGCAAUGGACGAAAGUCUGACGGAGCAAAGCCGCGUGAGUGAUGAAGGGUUUCGGCGCGUAAAGCUCUGUUGUUAGGGAAGAAACAGUAACGAACGAACUAGGUCGGUACCUUGACGGUACCUAAACAGAAAGCCACGGCUAACUACGUG